UGGGGAAUAUUGCACAAUGGGCGCAAGCCUGAUGUAGCCAUGCCGCGUGUGUGAAGAAGGCCUUCGGGUUGUAAAGUACUUUCAGCGGGGAGGAAGGCGUUAAGGUUAAUAACCUUGGCGAUUGACGUUACCCGCAGAAGAAGCACCGGCUAACUCCGUGCCAGCAGCCGCGGUAAUACGGAGGGUGCAAGCGAUAAUCGGAAUUACUGGGCGUAAGGCGCACGCAGGCGGUCUGUCAAGUCGGAUGUGAAAUCCCCGGGCUCAACCUGGGAACUGCAUUCGAAACUGACAGGCUAGAGUAGUGUAGAGGGGGGUAGAAUUACAGGUGUAGCGGUGAAAUGCGUAGAGAUCUGGAGGAAUACCGGUGGCGAAGACGGCCCACUGGACAAAGACUGACGCUCAGGUGCGAAAGCGUGGGGAGCAAACAGG
rnacentral:rRNA from 1 species